CCUACGGGGUGCUGCAGUGGGGAAUAUUGGGCAAUGGGCGCAAGCCUGACCCAGCAACGCCGCGUGAAGGAAGAAGGCCCUCGGGUUUUAAACUUCUUUUGUCAGGGACGUAGCAAGUGACGGUACCUGACGAAUAAGCCACGGCUAACUACGUGCCAGCAGCCGCGGUAAUACGUAGGUGGCAAGCGUUAUGCGGAUUUACUGGGUGUAAAGGGCGUGUAGGCGGGGAAGCAAGUCAGCUGUGAAAUUCCAGGGCUCAACCCUGGAACUGCAUUUGAAACUGUUUUUCUUGAGUGAUGGAGAGGCAGGCGGAAUUCCGGGUGUAGCGGUGAAAUGCGUAGAUAUAAGGAGGAACACCAGUGGCGAAGGCGGCCUGCUGGACAUUAACUGACGCUGAGGCGCGAAAGCGUGGGGAGCAAACAGGAUUAGAUACCCCUGUAGUC
rnacentral:rRNA from 1 species